rnacentral:rRNA from 1 species
GACGAUCAGAUACCGUCGUAGUCUUAACUAUAAAUGUUGCAAACCAGGGAUAGGACAGUGUCCAUCUCGACUCCUCCUGGACCUUGGAGAGAUUACGAGUCUAUGGGUUCUGGGGGGAGUAUGGUCGCAAGGCUGAAACUUAAAGGAAUUGACGGAAGGGCACACAAAGAGUGGAACCUGCGGCUUAAUUUGACUCAACACGGGAAAACUCACCAGGUCCGGAAACACGUAUGAAAGUCAAGCUGAAAGACUUUACUCAAUGAUGUAAGUGGUGGUGCAUGGUCGUUCUUAGUUCGUGGAUUGAUUUGUCUGGUCUACUCCGAUAACGAGCGAGACCCCGACGUUCCUAAUAGGGGUGGCAGCCAGACCGGUCGCAAGGCCGGUUAGCUCGCCGCCUGAAGUUAUACUUCUUAGACGCAUCAGAGCCGAUAAGGUUCUUGAAAUGGGUUAAUAACAGGUCAGUCAUGCCCUUAGAUGUUCUGGGCCGCACGCGCGUUACAAUGGCAUGUA